GAUGAACGUUGGCGGCGUGCCUAAUACAUGCAAGUCGAACGAAGACUGUAGUAAUACUGUCUUAGUGGCGAACGGGUGAGUAACGCGUGGGUGACCUGCCCCGAAGUGUGGGAUAACAGUCCGAAAGGAUUGCUAAUACUGCAUAAUAUCCAAGAGAUUAGAUGCUUUUGGAUUAAAGGAGUAAUUCGCUUCGGGAGGGGCCCGCGUCCCAUCAGCUAGUUGGUAAGGUAAUGGCUUACCAAGGCGAUGACGGGUAGGGGACCUGAGAGGGUGCCCCCCACAAUGGAACUGAAACACGGUCCAUACACCUACGGGUGGCAGCAGUAGGGAAUAUUAGUAAUGGGCGAAAGCCUGAACUAGCAACGCCGCGUGUGCGAAGAAGGCCUUCGGGUCGUAAAGCACUUUUUGAGAGGAUGAGGAAGGACGGUACUCUCAGAAUAAGUCUCGGCUAACUACGUG
rnacentral:rRNA from 1 species